GUUGCAAGUUUGAGCCCAUAGCAGAAGUGCUCAUGGUGGAGCCUGUCAGAUUCAUUGAAUCUGUGAAUUCUGCU
rnacentral:lncRNA from 1 species